GGAGAGGUGUCCGAGCUGGCUGAAGGAGCGCGCCUGCUAAGCGUGUGUGGGGGUUAAACUUCACCGAGGGUUCGAAUCCCUCCCUCUCCGCCA
rnacentral:tRNA from 1 species